rnacentral:rRNA from 1 species
AAUCAACGCUGGCGGCGUGCCUCAGACAUGCAAGUCGAACGCGAAAUUUCCCUUCGGGGAGAAAGUAGAGUGGCGCACGGGUGAGUAACACGUAGGUAAUUUGCCUUUGGGUGGGGAAUAACUCAGGGAAACUUGAGCUAAUACCGCAUAAUGCAGCGGCUCGACAUCGAGACAGUUGUUAAAGCGGGGGAUUGGAGCAAUCCGACCUCGCGCCUAAAGAGAAGCCUGCGGCAGAUUAGCUAGUUGGUAAGGUAAUGGCUUACCAAGGCGACGAUCUGUAACCGGCCUGAGAGGGCGGUCGGUCACACUGACACUGACAUACGGGUCAGACUCCUACGGGAGGCAGCAGUCGGGAAUUUUGGGCAAUGGGCGCAAGCCUGACCCAGCAACGCCGCGU